AGAGUUUGAUCAUGGCUCAGAUUGAACGCUGGCGGCAGGCCUAACACAUGCAAGUCGAGCGGUAGCACAGAGAGCUUGCUCUCGGGUGACGAGCGGCGGACGGGUGAGUAAUGUCUGGGAAACUGCCUGAUGGAGGGGGAUAACUACUGGAAACGGUAGCUAAUACCGCAUAACGUCGCAAGACCAAAGUGGGGGACCUUCGGGCCUCAUGCCAUCAGAUGUGCCCAGAUGGGAUUAGCUAGUAGGUGGGGUAACGGCUCACCUAGGCGACGAUCCCUAGCUGGUCUGAGAGGAUGACCAGCCACACUGGAACUGAGACACGGUCCAGACUCCUACGGGAGGCAGCAGUGGGGAAUAUUGCACAAUGGGCGCAAGCCUGAUGCAGCCAUGCCGCGUGUGUGAAGAAGGCCUUCGGGUUGUAAAGCACUUUCAGCGGGGAGGAAGGCGGUAAGGUUAAUAACCUUGUCGAUUGACGUUACCCGCAGAAGAAGCACCGGCUAACUCCGUGCCAGCAGCCGCGGUAAUACGGAGGGUGCAAGCGUUAAUCGGAAUUACUGGGCGUAAAGCGCACGCAGGCGGUCUGUCAAGUCGGAUGUGAAAUCCCCGGGCUCAACCUGGGAACUGCAUUCGAAACUGGCAGGCUAGAGUCUUGUAGAGGGGGGUAGAAUUCCAGGUGUAGCGGUGAAAUGCGUAGAGAUCUGGAGGAAUACCGGUGGCGAAGGCGGCCCCCUGGACAAAGACUGACGCUCAGGUGCGAAAGCGUGGGGAGCAAACAGGAUUAGAUACCCUGGUAGUCCACGCCGUAAACGAUGUCGAUUUGGAGGUUGUGCCCUUGAGGCGUGGCUUCCGGAGCUAACGCGUUAAAUCGACCGCCUGGGGAGUACGGCCGCAAGGUUAAAACUCAAAUGAAUUGACGGGGGCCCGCACAAGCGGUGGAGCAUGUGGUUUAAUUCGAUGCAACGCGAAGAACCUUACCUGGUCUUGACAUCCACAGAACUUUCCAGAGAUGGAUUGGUGCCUUCGGGAACUGUGAGACAGGUGCUGCAUGGCUGUCGUCAGCUCGUGUUGUGAAAUGUUGGGUUAAGUCCCGCAACGAGCGCAACCCUUAUCCUUUGUUGCCAGCGGUUAGGCCGGGAACUCAAAGGAGACUGCCAGUGAUAAACUGGAGGAAGGUGGGGAUGACGUCAAGUCAUCAUGGCCCUUACGACCAGGGCUACACACGUGCUACAAUGGCAUAUACAAAGAGAAGCGACCUCGCGAGAGCAAGCGGACCUCAUAAAGUAUGUCGUAGUCCGGAUUGGAGUCUGCAACUCGACUCCAUGAAGUCGGAAUCGCUAGUAAUCGUAGAUCAGAAUGCUACGGUGAAUACGUUCCCGGGCCUUGUACACACCGCCCGUCACACCAUGGGAGUGGGUUGCAAAAGAAGUAGGUAGCUUAACCUUCGGGAGGGCGCUUACCACUUUGUGAUUCAUGACUGGGGUGAAGUCGUAACAAGGUAACCGUAGGGGAACCUGCGGUUGGAUCACCU
rnacentral:rRNA from 1 species